GGAGUUGAUGGCAGAUCUCGGAAUGCAGAAGCCUGGUUUGCUCUCAAACCAUAAAGUCACACAUAACACCAGGGAAGGCACUAUAGUUGGAGUGUUCUACACUACUAUCACUACAACUUUGUACUGCUCAUGCCUAAGGUAAGAAAAAAUAACAAAUAACACAGGACAAAAAGUAGACCUCAUUCAAUUCUCAGAGGGCUUUCCUCAAGUGCGAACUCCAUAUACCCUGAACAGAGCUUUCAGAACCUCCCUUCCACAGAGGUCUUCCACAGAAUUCUUCCCAUAUAAAUGAUAAUAUAUUUGAGCUGAAGCAGAGUUUCUAUUGACACUUAAAAGCAUGGCAAGCAGUUGAUUAUAAGCCAUCAUGUUAUGAAGUUUGACACAUACCAGCAUGUUUCAUUUUACAGAGAAACUUCCAUUAGGACACAGUGCAAGUGACCAGUUUGUAUUCAUUUAUUUAUUGAGCAUCAUUUAAGGAGUGUUAGAACCUUUUAACUUUCUCCUACCAAGACAGUACCAGCUUCUUCUUUGAAUAAAAUGAUACAGAAGUAUAAAAUUGGGAAGAAGAUGAAAAUGCCAGUACAUGGAUGUAGUGAUAAAGGCCAGCGCAGCACUGGAUAACAUCUUCAAGAGUACAUGUGAGAAACGGUGGUGCUGAGGCCAGGGCAGGGGAGAAGAAGAGAGGAGGUACUCCAGAUAAUGCAGCAGGAGUUCCUCUGCAGAAACUGAGGAGAACAAUAGUUUAGCAGGCUUUCACCCUCCAUUCGGUGCCAUUGGCGAACAGGUGUGCCCCUACAGCCCUUAAGCCACGUAGGAGGCAGGUAAUGCUUUAACCCCAGCCAGAAACAAAGUGCCGCGCAGGUCACUCUCACCACCAGCCUGCUGGGAGAGAGAAUUGGAGGAGUAAAGAUGGGAAACAUUGUGGCUUAAGAUAAAAGCCAUUUACUAGGGAUAUCAAAAGCUCCACAUGCAAGCGAAGCUGGCAACACCAUCAGCAAACAGCCAUUGUGACAUCACUGGUGAGAUCAGCUCUGAAAACGGCUUGCAUCACAAAGGGCUGCACCCCGGCAGCCCUAUAAAAGCAGGGCAGUGGCUCGCAGCGCUCAGCGAGCACCACCACCACCAUGGCUGGUUACAAUCGGCGGGCCAGACGCCGCAGGAGCCGGAGCAGGAGCCGGAGCCACAGGCGCCUGCGCAAGACGCGGCGCACCGGCCACAGCCGCUCCCGCCGCCGCAGCACGCGGCGGAGGCGCCGGGGUGGGGGACGCCCACAGGUCAGUGUGUCCAUGUUCAUGCCCAACAGCUGUCGGUGGCACAGUGUGUGUGA
rnacentral:lncRNA from 1 species